rnacentral:rRNA from 1 species
CAUAUUGACAGCAGGACGGUGGCCAUGGAAGCCGGAAUCCGCUAAGGAGUGUGUAACAACUCACGGGCCGAAUGAACUAGCCCUGAAAAUGGAUGGCGCUUAAGCGUGUUACCCAUACCUCGCCGUCAGGGUAGAAACGAUGCCCUGACGAGUAGGCAGGCGUGGGGGUCCGUGACGAAGCCUUGGGAGUGAUCCCGGGUCGAACGGCCCCUAGUGCAGAUCUUGGUGGUAGUAGCAAAUACUCAAAUGAGAAUUUUGAGGACUGAAG